rnacentral:rRNA from 1 species
GCAAGUCGAACGGGCCCUUCGGGGCUAGUGGCGGACGGGUGAGUAACGCGUGGGAACGUGCCCUUUGGUUCGGAAUAGCCCCGGGAAACUGGGAGUAAUACCGGACAAGCCCUUCGGGGGAAAGAUUUAUCGCCAAAGGAUCGGCCCGCGUUGGAUUAGGUAGUUGGUGGGGUAACGGCCUACCAAGCCGACGAUCCAUAGCUGGUUUGAGAGGAUGAUCAGCCACACUGGGACUGAGACACGGCCCAGACUCCUACGGGAGGCAGCAGUGGGGAAUCUUAGACAAUGGGGGAAACCCUGAUCUAGCCAUGCCGCGUGAUCGAUGAAGGCCUUAGGGUUGUAAAGAUCUUUCAGUGGGGAAGAUAAUGACGGUACCCACAGAAGAAGCCCCGGCUAACUCCGUGCCAGCAGCCGCGGUAAUACGGAGGGGGCUAGCGUUAUUCGGAAUUACUGGGCGUAAAGCGCACGUAGGCGGAUUGGAAAGUCAGAGGUGAAAUCCCAGGGCUCAACCCUGGAACUGCCUUUGAAACUCCCAGUCUUGAGGUCGUGAGAGGUGAGUGGAAUUCCGAGUGUAGAGGUGAAAUUCGUAGAUAUUCGGAGGAACACCAGUGGCGAAGGCGGCUCACUGGCACGAUACUGACGCUGAGGUGCGAAAGCGUGGGGAGCAAA